CCUACGGGAGGCAGCAGUAGGGGAUAUUGCUCAAUGGGGGAAACCCUGAUGCAGCAACGCCGCGUGGGUGAUGAAGUUUUUCGGUUUGUAAACUCCUUUUAGCAGGGAAGAUAAUGACGGUGCUUGAAUAGGAAGCCCCGGCUAACUACGUCCCAGCAGCCGCGGUAAUACGUAGGGGGCAAGCGUUAUCCGGAAUUACUGGGGGUAAAGGGUGAGUAGGCGGCAUGGUAGGCAUGAUGUGAAAGCCUUGGGCGUAACCCGCGGAUUGCAUUUGGAACUAUCAAGCUAGAGUACAGGAGAGGAAAGCGGAAUUCCUAGUGUAGCGGUGAAAUGCGUAGAUAUUAGGAAGAACACCAGUGGCGAAGGCGGCUUUCUGGACUGAAACUGACGCUGAGGCACGAAAGCGUGGGGAGCGAACAGGAUUAGAUACCCGUGUAGUC
rnacentral:rRNA from 1 species